GGAAGGGGGCCUUGGCUCAGUGGCAGAUCAUCUGAUUGAUAUACAGAAAGUCGUGGGUUCAAUCCCUGGCCUCUCCA
rnacentral:tRNA from 1 species